rnacentral:rRNA from 1 species
CGAACGCUGGCGGCGUGCUUAACACAUGCAAGUCAAGGAUAACGGUACCUUCGGGUACUUAUUACACUGGCGAACGGGUGAGUAACGCGUGGGCGACCUGCCUUUUGGACUGAGAUAACCUCGCGAAAGCGGGGCUAAUACCGGAUAUAUCAUAAGAAUGCCUGUUCUAAUGAUAAAAGAUGCAAUUGCAUUACCAGAAGAUGGGCCCGCGUCCCAUUAGGUAGUUGGUAGGGUAAUGGCCUACCAAGCCUGCGAUGGGUAGCUGAUCUGAGAGGAUGAUCAGCCACACUGGGACUGAGAUACGGCCCAGACUCCUACGGGAGGCAGCAGUGAGGAAUAUUGCGCAAUGGACGAAAGUCUGACGCAGCAACGCCGCGUGGGUGAAGAAGCUUUUAGGAGUGUAAAGCCCUGUCAGGUGGGAAGAGAGUGUGAGAGAGUGGAAAGCUCUUGCAACAGGACGGUACCACCAGAGGAAGCUCCGGCUAACUCC